rnacentral:rRNA from 1 species
UACGAAGGGUGCAAGCGUUACUCGGAAUUACUGGGCGUAAAGCGUGCGUAGGUGGUGAGUUAAGUCUGUCGUGAAAGCCCCCGGGCUCAACCUGGGAAUGGCGAUGGAUACUGGCUCGCUAGAGUGCGGUAGAGGAGAGUGGAAUUCCCGGUGUAGCAGUGAAAUGCGUAGAGAUCGGGAGGAACAUCAGUUGCGAAGGCGGCUCUCGUGGACCAGCACUGACGCUGAGGCUCGAAAGCGUGGGGAGCAACAGG